rnacentral:rRNA from 1 species
UACGAACUGUGCGAACGUUAUUCGGAAUCACUGGGCUUACAGGGUGCGUAGGCGGCUUGUUAAGUAGGGUGUGAAAGCCCCCGGCUCAACCGGGGAAUGGCGCCCUAAACUGGCGAGCUAGAGUGAGAUAGGGGUGUGUGGAACUUCCGGUGGAGCGGUGAAAUGUGUUGAUAUCGGAGGGAACGCCGGUGGCGAAAGCGACACACUGGAUCUUGUCUGACGCUGAGGCACGAAAGCCAGGGGAGCGAACGGG